rnacentral:rRNA from 1 species
UACAGAGGUCUCAAGCGUUGUUCGGAAUUACUGGGCGUAAAGGGCUCGUAGGCGGCCAACUAAGUCAGACGUGAAAUCCCUCGGCUUAACCGGGGAAUGGCGUCUGAUACUGGAUGGCUCGAGUUUGGGAGAGGGAUGCGGAAUUCCAGGUGUAGCGGUGAAAUGCGUAGAUAUCUGGAGGAACACCGGUGGCGAAGGCGGCAUCCUGGACCAACACUGACGCUGAUGAGCGAAAGCCAGGGGAGCAAACGGG